rnacentral:tRNA from 1 species
GCCCCCGUAGCUCAGUGGCUUAGAGCGGCGGUCUUUUAAAUCGCGCGACGCGAGUUCGAUUCUCGCCGGGGGCA